rnacentral:snRNA from 1 species
GACCUUUUGGCUAAGAUCAAGGGUAGUAU